AGAGUUUGAUCCUGGCUCAGGAUGAACGCUGACGGCGUGCUUAACACAUGUAAGUCGAACGAACCUUCGGGUUAGUGGCGGACGGGUGAGUAACGCGUGGGAAUCUGCCCUCAGGAGGGGGAUAACGGCUGGAAACGGCCGCUAAUACCCCAUAUGCCGAGAGGUGAAAUGAAAUUCGCCUGAGGAUGAGCCCGCGUCUGAUUAGCUAGUUGGUGGGGUAAGAGCUCACCAAGGCGACGAUCAGUAGCUGGUCUGAGAGGAUGAUCAGCCACACUGGGACUGAGACACGGCCCAGACUCCUACGGGAGGCAGCAGUGGGGAAUUUUCCGCAAUGGGCGAAAGCCUGACGGAGCAACGCCGCGUGAGGGAUGAAGGCCUCUGGGCUGUAAACCUCUUUUCUCAAGGAAGAAGACAUGACGGUACUUGAGGAAUAAGCCACGGCUAAUUCCGUGCCAGCAGCCGCGGUAAUACGGGAGUGGCAAGCGUUAUCCGGAAUUAUUGGGCGUAAAGCGUCCGCAGGCGGCCCUGUAAGUCUGUCGUUAAAGCGUGGAGCUUAACUCCAUUUAAGCGAUGGAAACUACAGGGCUUGAGUGUGGUAGGGGCAGAGGGAAUUCCCGGUGUAGCGGUGAAAUGCGUAGAUAUCGGGAAGAACACCAGUGGCGAAGGCGCUCUGCUGGGCCAUAACUGACGCUCAUGGACGAAAGCCAGGGGAGCGAAAGGGAUUAGAUACCCCUGUAGUCCUGGCCGUAAACGAUGAACACUAGGUGUCGGGGGAAUCGACCCCCUCGGUGUCGUAGCCAACGCGUUAAGUGUUCCGCCUGGGGAGUACGCACGCAAGUGUGAAACUCAAAGGAAUUGACGGGGGCCCGCACAAGCGGUGGAGUAUGUGGUUUAAUUCGAUGUAACGCGAAGAACCUUACCAGGGUUUGACAUCCUGCGAAUCCCUUGGACACGAGGGAGUGCCUUCGGGAGCGCAGAGACAGGUGGUGCAUGGCUGUCGUCAGCUCGUGUCGUGAGAUGUUGGGUUAAGUCCCGCAACGAGCGCAACCCACGUCUUUAGUUGCCAGCAUUCAGUUGGGCACUCUAGAGAGACCGCCGGUGAUAAACCGGAGGAAGGUGUGGAUGACGUCAAGUCAUCAUGCCCCUUACAUCCUGGGCUACACACGUACUACAAUGCUACGGACAAAGGGCAGCAAGCUCGCGAGAGUUAGCAAAUCCCAUAAACCGUGGCUCAGUUCAGAUCGUAGGCUGCAACUCGCCUACGUGAAGGAGGAAUCGCUAGUAAUCGCAGGUCAGCAUACUGCGGUGAAUACGUUCCCGGGCCUUGUACACACCGCCCGUCACACCAUGGAAGUUGGCCAUGCCCGAAGUCGUUACUCCAACCCUUGUGGAGGAGGACGCCGAGGGUGGGGCUGAUGACUGGGGUGAAGUCGUAACAAGGUA
rnacentral:rRNA from 1 species